rnacentral:rRNA from 1 species
GAGCUGAGCUUGCUAUGCAGUCGGCCUUCGGGGUUGUAAACCUCUUUCAGUAGGGAAGAAGCGUAAGUGACGGUACCUGCAGAAGAAGCGCCGGGCUAACUACGUGCCAGCAGCCGCGGUAAUACGUAGGGCGCAAGCGUUAUCCGGGAAUUAUUGGGCGUAAAGAGCUCGUAGGCGGUUUGUCGCGUCUGCCGUGAAAGUCCGGGGCUCAACUCCGGGAUCUGCGGUGGGUACGGGCAGACUAGAGUGAUGUAGGGGAGACUGGAAUUCCUGGUGUAGCGGUGAAAUGCGCAGAUAUCAGGAGGAACACCGAUGGCGAAGGCAGGUCUCUGGGCAUUAACUGACGCUGAGGAGCGAAAGCAUGGGGAGCGAACAGGAUUAGAUACCCUGGUAGUCCAUGCCGUAAACGUUGGGCACUAGGUGUGGGGGACAUUCCACGUUUUCCGCGCCGUAGCUAACGCAUUAAGUGCCCCGCCUGGGGAGUACGGCCGCAAGGCUAAAACUCAAAGGAAUUGACGGGGGCCCGCACAAGCGGCGGAGCAUGCGGAUUAAUUCGAUGCAACGCGAAGAACCUUACCAAGGCUUGACAUGAACCGGACCGGGCUGGAAACAGUCUUUCCCCUUGUGGGCUGGUUUACAGGUGGUGCAUGGUUGUCGUCAGCUCGUGUCGUGAGAUGUUGGGUUAAGUCCCGCAACGAGCGCAACCCUCGUUCUAUGUUGCCAGCACGUGAUGGUGGGGACUCAUAGGAGACUGCCGGGGUCAACUCGGAGGAAGGUGGGGACGACGUCAAAUCAUCAUGCCCCUUAUGUCUUGGGCUUCACGCAUGCUACAAUGGCCGGUACAAAGGGUUGCGAUACUGUGAGGUGGAGCUAAUCCCAAAAAGCCGGUCUCAGUUCGGAUUGGGGUCUGCAACUCGACCCCAUGAAGUCGGAGUCGCUAGUAAUCGCAGAUCAGCAACGCUGCGGUGAAUACGUUCCCGGGCCUUGUACACACCGCCCGUCAAGUCACGAAAGUUGGUAACACCCGAAGU